rnacentral:rRNA from 1 species
UACGAGGGGUGCAAGCGUUGCUCGGAAUUAUUGGGCGUAAAGGGUAGGUAGGUGGUCUCGUUUGUCUGGGGUGAAAGCCUUGAGCUUAACUCAAGAAGUGCCUCGGAAACGGCGAGACUGGAGUCUUGGAGAGGGUCGUGGAAUUCCCGGUGUAGCGGUGAAAUGCGUAGAGAUCGGGAGGAACACCAGAGGCGAAGGCGGCGACCUGGACAAGUACUGACACUCAACUACGAAAGCGUGGGGAGCAAACAGG